AGUGCCCCGGAGCUGCAGCGGCAGCAGAGGUCGGAACACCUUCCUCUGUGGGCACGCCACGGAAAUUUAAAGACACAGGGUGCUCUUUCGCAAACUGGGCUCGUUGAUUCUACAGGAGAAGGUAACUAUUAUUGAGUUUCUUCUUUUUCAGAAUGAGUGGCAUCCAAACCUGACUCAUAUUUCCAACUUUAUUAAUUUUUGCAAGACUUCGGAGGGUGCUCUGUGGCGAUUAAUAUUGCUGAGCUGAGCACAGCUGCAGUACUUUCCUGUAAAACUGACUAAAGGAGAAGUUGGUGUCUUCCUCAUACAAGAAAUACAUAAAUCAGUUAAAAAUAGUUCUCCGAGCGGAUAUGAUGAUGUCGUGGCCGUCACAGGAAACACAUGAAUCAGCCUCAUCCUCAGUUCCAGGGAAGUGGGGACAGUCGGUGGUCCUUGGACCCCUCUUGGGGCGCGUGGGUGAGGCAGGGUCCCUCUGGCUUUACCUCAUACCCGGACUGGCAAAGCUGCCUGGGAGGACAACUAAAACCAUGCUCCUUUGAUUCUGUG
ensembl:lncRNA novel transcript